CUGAACCCUUGUUUACAGGCGCCUUCAGGCCUGGUGGGUGUGGCCCUGCUAGGGGACUGGCCACACCCGAAGCCACGCACCUGCUGCUGAUCAGGCCUCGUCGGGGGAGAGUCUUGGAGCUCCCACCGACGCGGGAUCAUUGCGUUAGACUCCCAAGAGGAACGUGGAGAGGAAGGGCAGCACGCACAGGGUGUGCACAGUCACGACAGCAGGGAGCACGAACACGGACACCACUGGAAGACACGCACGGGAGUCUUGGGGAGCACGGGGAUUAAUUGUGCAUCAUUAUUUACCACAUUGUAAAUAAACGCACUGUUGUUAUUCA